rnacentral:rRNA from 1 species
GACGAACGCUGGCGGCGUGCUUAACACAUGCAAGUCGAACGGAAAGGCCCUGCUUUUGUGGGGUGCUCGAGUGGCGAACGGGUGAGUAACACGUGAGUAACCUGCCCUUGACUUUGGGAUAACUUCAGGAAACUGGGGCUAAUACCGGAUAGGAGCUCCUGCUGCAUGGUGGGGGUUGGAAAGUUUCGGCGGUUGGGGAUGGACUCGCGGCUUAUCAGCUUGUUGGUGGGGUAGUGGCUUACCAAGGCUUUGACGGGUAGCCGGCCUGAGAGGGUGACCGGCCACAUUGGGACUGGGAUACGGCCCAGACUCCUACGGGAGGCAGCAGUGGGAAAUAUUGCACAAUGGGCGGAAGCCUGAUGCAGCAACGCCGCGUGCGGGAUGACGGCCUUCGGGUUGUAAACCGCUUUCGCCUGUGACGAAGCGUGAGUGACGGUAAUGGGUAAAGAAGCACCGGCUAACUACGUG